GUGGGGAAUAUUGGACAAUGGGGGGAACCCUGAUCCAGCGACGCCGCGUGAGUGAAGAAGUAUUUCGGUAUGUAAAGCUCUAUCAGCAGGGAAGAAAGAAAUGACGGUACCUGACUAAGAAGCCCCGGCUAACUACGUGCCAGCAGCCGCGGUAAUACGUAGGGGGCAAGCGUUAUCCGGAUUUACUGGGUGUAAAGGGAGCGUAGACGGCAAUGCAAGUCUGGAGUGAAAGGCGGGGGCCCAACCCCCGGACUGCUCUGGAAACUGUAUAGCUGGAGUGCAGGAGAGGUAAGUGGAAUUCCUAGUGUAGCGGUGAAAUGCGUAGAUAUUAGGAGGAACACCAGUGGCGAAGGCGGCUUACUGGACUGUAACUGACGUUGAGGCUCGAAAGCGUGGGGAGCAAACAGGA
rnacentral:rRNA from 1 species